GAUGAACGCUGGCGGCGUGCCUAAUACAUGCAAGUCGAGCGAACGGACGAGAAGCUUGCUUCUCUGAUGUUAGCGGCGGACGGGUGAGUAACACGUGGAUAACCUACCUAUAAGACUGGGAUAACUUCGGGAAACCGGAGCUAAUACCGGAUGAUAUUUUGAACCGCAUGGUUCAAAAGUGAAAGACGGUCUUGCUGUCACUUAUAGAUGGAUCCGCGCUGCAUUAGCUAGUUGGUAAGGUAACGGCUUACCAAGGCAACGAUGCGUAGCCGACCUGAGAGGGUGAUCGGCCACACUGGAACUGAGACACGGUCCAGACUCCUACGGGAGGCAGCAGUAGGGAAUCUUCCGCAAUGGGCGAAAGCCUGACGGAGCAACGCCGCGUGAGUGAUGAAGGUCUUCGGAUCGUAAAACUCUGUUAUUAGGGAAGAACAUAUGUGUAAGUAACUGUGCACAUCUUGACGGUACCUAAUCAGAAAGCCAUGGCUAACUACGUG
rnacentral:rRNA from 1 species